rnacentral:rRNA from 1 species
UACGUAGGGUGCGAGCGUUAAUCGGAAUUACUGGGCGUAAAGCGUGCGCAGGCGGUUUUGUAAGCCAGAUGUGAAAUCCCCGGGCUCAACCUGGGAAUGGCAUUUGGGACUGCAAGGCUGGAGUACGGCAGGGGAGACUGGAAUUCCUGGUGUAGCGGUGAAAUGCGCAGAUAUCAGGAGGAACACCGGUGGCGAAGGCGGGUCUCUGGGCAGUUACUGACGCUGAGGAGCGAAAGCGUGGGGAGCGAACAGG